GGAUGUAAGGGCUAUGAUGUAGGGACUAGGGUGCUGUGUAGGGACUAGGGAGGUGUGUAGAGACUAGGAUGUAGGGGCUAUGGUGCUGUGUAGGGACUAGGAUGUAAGGGCUAUGAUGUAGGGACUAGGGUGCUGUGUAGGGACUAGGAUGUAGGGACUAGGGUGCUGUGUAGGGACUAGGGAGGUGUGUAGAGACUAGGAUGUAGGGGCUAUGG